UACGUAUGGAGCAAGCGUUAUCCGGAUUUACUGGGUGUAAAGGGAGCGUAGACGGCGAAGCAAGUCUGAAGUGAAAGGACGGGGCCCAACCCCGGAACUGCUUUGGAAACUGUUUGGCUAGAGUGCGGGAGGGGUAAGCGGAAUUCCUAGUGUAGCGGUGAAAUGCGUAGAUAUUAGGAGGAGCACCGGUGGCGAAGGCGGCUUACAGGACCGUAACUGACGUUGAGGCUCGAAGGCGUGGGGAGCAAAC
rnacentral:rRNA from 1 species